GAGUUUGAUCGUGGCUCAGAUUGAACGCUGGCGGCAUGCCUUACACAUGCAAGUCGAACGGCAGCAUGAUCUAGCUUGCUAGAUUGAUGGCGAGUGGCGAACGGGUGAGUAAUACAUCGGGAACGUGCCCUGUAGUGGGGAUAACUAGUCGAAAGAUUAGCUAAUACCGCAUACGACCGUGAGGGUGAAAGUGGGGGACCGCAAGGCCUCAUGCUAUAGGAGCGGCCGAUGUC
rnacentral:rRNA from 1 species